ACGAAGGGGGCGAGCGUUGUUCGGAAUUACUGGGCGUAAAGGGCGCGUAGGCGGCCCGUUUAGUCAGAUGUGAAAGCCCCGGGCUCAACCUGGGAACUGCAUUUGAUACUGGCGGGCUUGAGUUCCGGAGAGGAUGGUGGAAUUCCCAGUGUAGAGGUGAAAUGCGUAGAGAUCGGGAGGAACACCCGUGGCGAAGGCGGCCAUCUGGACCAGCACUGACGCUGAGGCACGAAAGCGUGGGGAGCAAACAGGA
rnacentral:rRNA from 1 species